CUAUAGCUCAGCUGGAUAGAGCGUCGGACUUCUAAUCCGAGGGUCGGGGGUUCGAAUCCCUCUGGG
rnacentral:tRNA from 1 species